GCUUGUGAUGUUACUGUGUUACUUUUACAUGCUUCAUGGUGGGGUUAACACGAGCGUCGAAUAUUUUCAAUGACUCGAGUUAAGCCCCUCGAUCUUUUUUCACGGGACCGAACUUUCCAAGUUGUGUUUCGUUCUUCGAGUUUUGCCUUGACGAAAAUAGGUGUGGUCCGGGGCUUGACUCGAAAAUGGCUUCAGUCGAUGAUUAUCUACCUCAUCGUCAAAAUAUGUAGUUUAAUUUCGUGCAGUAGCGUAGCUAGCCCGACGAUUUAGUCCCGCUAUAUGCAAAUAUUUUUUUUUCCGGUAUUGACUGUGAAAACAAUCAAUUUCUAAAGAAAUGAAUAACGAUAAUAAUUUUGAAUUUCCGUUAUUAGCGGGACUAAAUUGUCGGGCUGGCUACGCCAGUACAACUGUAUCGGACUGUACAACUUUAUUUUCAGAUAAUGCGGCAUUGUUCGAUAUCAUCAUAGUGAGGCUUCAAUAAUGUUAUGAUAUUGUUACUUCCACUUCUUCAGCAAUAUCAAUGGUGACAUCACUAUUUGUGUCAUCACAUACGGUAGUACAUGCUUUUUCACAUGGUUUUGUGACGUCAUCUAAUGACUGAAGUUCUUCACGUGAAUAAUGUUCAAUGAUAACACAGGCUAUGCAGUUCGCCCAAAUGUUGGUAGGUGUGGCGAAGCGAUCUCUAUAAAGUAAAAAAUGUUACCACUAAUUAAAAUUAUAUAGUUUGGGCAAUUUAGAACGGUCAACUGAGACAGAUUUGUAUGAAAUACUUUUGUUGGUAUUGCAGCGCUUUCAAAUUAUUGCAUUUUUUGAAAGUGGUUUUUAUAUGAAG